rnacentral:lncRNA from 1 species
CCACUUGCUUACUUUGUAAAAUUUAUAAAUAUUACCCAAAACUAUAACAUUAUAUCAUAUCCACACCAUAAUAUUCAAAAAUAUAUUUUGAGAGAAAUUAAUUUUUAUUCAUAAAAGUUGGGGUCUUACAAUAUUUAGUCUAGGACGCCAAAAUCGCUCCAGCAGAUGGACUAUAUUUAGUCGAUCAACUUUUUCGGCCGCUCAAAACGACCAAAUCUGCGAACGAAAAAUCAGCCAGACUAUAAUUUAAUAUAAUUAAAUGGAAAACUCUCUGUUAAAGAAAUUGAAGAAAAAAAAUAAGAAAAACUCUGUUGAAGAAGAUCUGUCGAAGAAGAAGGAGAUGAAGUGAGAGAACUGAAAGUGAAGUGAAGAAGAGAUGAACGGUAAUAAAGUACAAUCCAACGGAUAGAAAAAAAAAAUUCAGAACGGUAAUAAAGAGUACAAACGGAUAGAAAUUGAAAGCCUAAUUGGAAAUCUAUAAAUAUGUAUAAUAAUUCAAUUUAUUUUAUAUCUUUCAAUCAACUACUCCAACAUUUAGCAAUUGUAAGUAUUUUAUUAAUAAUAGUUUAUAUUUUUAUUAUAUUUGAUUUUUGUUUUUUAUUGAUAAUAUCUCUUUAAUUUAUUUUUUAGAUAAAAAAUUAUGAUCCUCCGAUGUAUUAUUCUUCAUUAUUAUCUGAAGGUUUCUCACUUGAUGAUCCAAAUUUGUUGGAUGAAUUUUCAAUUCAAAUUGAUGUACCAAUUCAGACUCCCAAAAAUGAGUCCAAUAAAAGAACAGGGCAAAAGAGAAAUUACACAAUUGAAGAAGAUGCUCUUCUUGUUUUCGAAUGGCUUAAUGUAAGUAUGGAUCCAAUUCAAGGAAACGAUCAAAAACAUGAAAGAUAUUGGGAAAGAGUUCACAAAUACAAAAAUUUUGAAUCUAAACGUAAUUCUACUGCUUUGGCGAAACGUUGGUCAACAAUUCAACUCGUGGUGAACAAAUUUUAUGGAUAUUAUGCUUCAAUUGAAAGAAUGCAACAAAGCGGUGUAAGCGAACAAGAUAAGGUAUUUCAAUUUUUUCAUAUAAAAUUUCAUUAAGUUUUAUUCUUAUAUUUUAUAUUUAAUACUUUGUAAAUAAUUUUUCAAUAGAUAUGUCAAGCAUUAGAGAUGUUCAAAAGUAUGCAAAAUCAACCAUUUGAAUUUAUGCAUUGUUGGAGAAUAUUAAAAGAUGCACCGAAAUAGAGAACAGAUAAUAGUAGAAAAAAAUAGAAAAAUAAUAGAAAGUCAAGUCCAACAGCAUCUUCUCCAUCAACUACAGAAGAAGUCAGUUUGGGUAAAGACGAUGGUAUUGAAGAUACAAUCUCUGCAAGAUUAGAGAGACCAAUAGGAAAAAAGGCUUCAAAAGCAUUAUUUAAAAAGGGCAAAGAAAUCGGUGAUACUAGUACACCUAUGGAGUUGAUGUUUGAGAAGUUCGAGCAUCAGAUUAAAUUGAACCAACAAAAGAGACAAGAGAACAUGGACAGAAUAUAUUUUCAAGAGCAAGAGAAGUUGAAUAUACUAAAAGCACAAGAAAAUGAAAGGAUCAUGAUGAUUGACACUGCUAACAUGGAGCUUAAAGUAGCUAAAUAUUACAAACAACGUAAGAAAGAAAUCAUGAAAAGAGUUACAUCUAAUAAUUGACUGGCUUAUUAUUGUAGUAGAAUAUAAUAGAGCCUGAAGUAGCUUAAUUUCCUUAUUAUUGUAGUAGAAUGUAAUGGAUUAGGCUCGGCCAUGUAGUGACCACAAGUGUUGAAUAAUAUCUUCUUGCAGUUUAGAAUGAACUUGUUUAUCCCUUAUGAAAGUAAUUGUGGGGUACGCUCAUGAGACACUUCUACAGUUGAAAUCUCGUCAUGUGUAUCGUAGGUUGUUGGUUCUUGAUUUUCAUCUCGUUCAUCUUCAACUAUCAUAUUAUGUAAUAUUAUGCAUACAGUCAUAAUUUCUUUUAGUGUUGUUUAAUCCCAAAAUCGUGCAGGACCACGAACUAUCACAAAACGUGCUUGCAGUACCCCAAAUGCUCGCUCAACAUCCUUUCUAAGCGCCUCUUGAGUCUUAGCAAAUAGUUUUCUUUUAUUUCCCUAAAGUGCCAAAAUGAUUUUAACAAAUAUUGUCCAUGGGGAAUAUAUACCAUCAACAAGAUAAUAUCCCAUCGUGUACUCAUUUUCAUUAAUUGAGUAGCUCACUGGUGGAGCACGACCUUCAGUAAGAGCAGAAAAGAUAGAUGAUCUCUCCAAAACGUUAAUAUCAUUAUGAGAGCUUGGUAAUCCAAAAAAUGCAUGUCAUAUCCAAAGAUCGUAUGAAACCACCGCUUCUAAAAUAAUUGUUGGCUCGUGCACAUAUCCAAAAUACAUAUCAUGCCAUGCAACUAGACAAUUCUUCCAUUUCUAAUGCAUACAAUCGAUGCUCCCCAACAUCCUAAGAAAACCACGCUCUUCAACUUUUGAUAGCAAUCUAACGAUGUCAUUACUAUUGGGUAAUCUCAAAUAUUCAUCACCAAAAAUUGAAAUGAAUGCUUUUACAAACCUUUUAAGACUCAAUAUAGCCAUGCUUUCACUGAUUCGCACAUAAUCAACGGAAUCCGCUGAAACACCAUAGGCAAACAUCCGUAUUGAGACAGUUAUCUUUUGUAGAGAAGAUAAACCGAGAUGUCCUGCAGCAUUCAUUUUUAGUACGAAAUAUGAAUUAUACGCUUCAACUGCUCUUUGAAUUCAGAAGAAAAACAGACACCACAUUCUAAACCUUCUCCAAAAUAGAUACCGAGGAGGGGGGUAUGUAGAAUUUUCUACAAAAUAAUCACAAAAAAAUCGAUUAUGACCUUCAUGUCUACCACGAUCAAUGAUAAUACAACCUUACACAGAACCACGAUGACGUAAUGUAUACCUAUUGACAUUUUUUUUUUCUUCUACAAUAACCAACAUGCCUAAUAAUUGUCCAUAUACUUUUUCAUCUUCUUCUUCAUCCACGUGCAACAUAACUAAUUCAAAUUAACAAGACAUUUAAAAUAACUUAUUUGACUGAAAAAAUAAAAUUAAAAUGAAUAAAUAUGAAAGAUUAGAUGCGACAUAUAUUUUAUAAAUACUAUUUAUUUAUUAAAAUAUAACCAUUAUAAUAUGACCGUUAAAAUAUGACCAUUAAAAUAUAGUCGUUGAAUUAUGCCCGUCAAAAUUUUUUUGAAUUAAUUGAUUAUUUUAAUUAUUUUAUAUUAUAAUCGACGAGAUAAUCCACAAGAUAGUCCAUCUGUUAAAAAAGAGCGAAGACUAAAAAACAUUUGCUAAUAUCAGAUAGACUAAAUAUAGUCCAGCAGAUCUAUCUAUUGGAGAUGCUCUAAACAGAAAUAGAUCAUAACUACAGUGAAGUUUAUCGGAUAUGCUUAGAUAUGGAGUAUGCAAGAAUUUAUGACAUCUAAUGUACUCAGAAAAAGGAUUUAACUAGCACAACUUUGCAGAAUUGUAACCCAACUCAGCGGCUUUAUCAUAAAAGUUUUGACAAAAAAAUAACCCACAACAGUUUAAAAUGAUAAUUGAGAAGAAAUAAAUGUCUAGCAUAGGAAGUUUUGAACUAUCAGCUCCAGCCAAAAACCAAAUAUAACUCAACACAUACAAGCAGUGAGUAAUCAAUCUUACUCAUGACAAAAAAUGAGAAGUGAUUUCAGCCAGUCCCAACACAAUAAACAAAGUAUACCAUUUAUGGACAGAAUAGAUGAGAUAGAGAAUAUACCUGAAAGAACAAUAUACAUUUAAAUAUACAUACAGAUUUUAAACAAUGUAUAGAUAUGCAUGUACAAAUACUUUAAUUACUUAAAAUACAUUCGUGUUUAAAAAAAACUGUAGAUAAGAAAUUUGUUGUUUUUGAAAGAAAUUUUAAUAUACUCUAAAAAAAUUACAAAUCUAGUCACGAAAAUUAGGAUUUAAACAGUUGUCACAAUCGUUGUUAAAAAAAUGAUUUGUUAGAUUAGAACUCAGAUCUUGAGCACUAAAUCUAACUAAAUUUGUUUAUCUGAAAACUCAUUUAAUCAAAAUGAACAACGAAACUUAACAGAUGAGAACGUUAAGAGUUUUCAGAUCUACAAACUUAGGGUUUUCCCCUUUUUAAAAAAAAAAUUGACACAAAUUAACACCAAAUACUGGUUUUUGAAAAAUAGAUUUUGAGAUAUAAAACUAUCCAUACUUAUUAAAAAAAAAAUCAGAGAAAGCCAACGGACAAAAAUGAACUGCAGAGAAAAACAAAAAGUAGAAUCAAACAAAUAAUUAGUAGAAGUAUGAUUUUGAGGGUGAUGAAUCGAUUGAUAGGAGCAGAUUAAUCGAAAUUGAAAUAAAAAUCAAGGACUUUUUACAGAGAACAGGGUUAGGGUUGAGAGAAUUUUGGGGAGAGAGAAAUGAGAUCCGGAAGAUAACAGAGAAGAGGAAGAGAAAUGAAAUUAAAAAU